AAUGUUCCAAGUUUUUGAAUCAAAACAUUUAAAUUAAAUUCAAGGAAUUUUUGUUUUGACUCUGAAUCAAUGUAAAAAUUCAUUGAUUUAGAUGAAUUUUCUUUUGAAUCAAAGUAUUUUUUCGUCAAACAGUCGACACAUCUUCUUUAGCUACUGUUGGUGAACGGGUCGGCGAGAAGUUUUUCCGACAACCAGUCGACCAUUCAAUUUCUGGGAAAUCUUCCUGCCGCGCAACAGUCAGACAGCACCGGAAUCACAAGAUCCGGCGCAGGAAAGUCUUGACGGCUAGAGGCCAAACGAUAGUGGACUAGGGCAACCAUUCAUUUAAUAAAUCGCUUCCGAUCUGGUCCAAGGAGACAUCUGGCGUCGAAACCCUUCAUAAGUUGUCCGCCAACAAAAAUCGUUCAAUGUGCCGGUUCAAAAGUCUUAUUACAGGGAAAAUCGAUAAUGUGAACAUGAAC